AUUUUGCUUGGACAACAGAUAAGCUUAUUGAACAAGAAAGGGGCCCCCAAUCCUUUAAUUUUUUUUAUUCCACAAACUAUUUGUUCAUGAACAACAAAUAAAUCUGCUCUAGAACUGGAUGAGACCUCUGUGACCUCUACAUCAUGUGACAGUGUGGCGUGUCACCAGCCGUUUGCAUGUACGAGGCCGCACAUGAGUUUAGGGGGGGAACAUGUAACCCGCAACUAGUAAAGGACUUUUAUUUUUGCGGGCCCACUUCCUGUGUUGCCCCAAACUCUGCUAACUUAUUUAAAGCCCCGCCUCCAGCUAUCCUCACCUGUUUCCGCUGUGAUUGUGGUUUGCUGUUGGCGUCUUUCUCAGGAAUUCCCCCCAAAAUCUUUAAAUCUAUUGAAUGGUUUCCGGAAUCACUGGCAUUGUUUACCUGGACCGUCACCAGGAUUCUGUCAGUGCUGAUUGUGGCUAAGCCCCACUGUCUUCUAAAAGGUCGGGUUUUUUUCCACCUGUCGGAUCAGAUCUUCAUCUGGAUCGGAAGAUGGCUCCUUAAAGGACACUCUUCUGGUGCUGCUUUUGUAGCCGCAGUUAACUGCCUAGCCCAUAAAUGUUACACAAUAAUAAGUUGUCUUUUUCUAAUGAGACAAAAUGUCCAGUUUUGUAGGUUACCAAAAUUUCUUGGAGGCCUAUGCAUUCCCCACAAGAACCGGAGCUCAUGUCCAGAAAGGACAGAACAAACAAAACUUCUUUCUGGAGAGAAAACUUUGAAAGUUGCAAGAACUAAAGUACACAACCCUUGUAAAAGUCUCAUUAGAACUGAAAUUUUCAGAGAAAUCACACAAUAAUUCUUGGACACCACAAUAAAAAAGGCUCUUGCUGGGCAAUGUGUGAAGAGAAAGAUGCUGGAGCCCCUAAGAACAGAAUAAUGCCAUCUGGGAGAGGGAACAAAUUCCGGAUUUUUUUUACGUAAGGUUUUAUUAGUUUGUUAAAAUUCAGAGAUUUAAAUAUAUUGAUAUUGCAAUUUUGCAAAACCUGUGUGCUGAUGUCAUUUUUAAGUUUUUGAUUGUUUUAUUUACUGAUGUUGGAGUUAAAUGGAGUCACAACUGUGAAUAUACUUUAACACUUUAAACUCUUUCCUUGUGUGACAUUCUGAACAAAAUUGCACUGCUUUACCUCCAUAGUUCUGGUUUAUUAUUUGGCCCAAUGUAUAAAUACUUAUAUAAUGUAAUUAUAAUGCAUAAAGUCAGAUUUAAUAAGUGGAGAUUUACUUCAGUCUAAGUUGUGUAUCUUGGGUUAUUUCUGUUGUCAUAUUUAGUGUAUUCUACAGCCUCACUCCCUGCUAAGUUGAUUGUACUCAUCUGGUUUCCAUGUCAUAAUCACAAGCUUGUUGGGUUCAUUCUCUCACUGUUGGAUCUGGUUCCUGGUAUUGUCUGUAUUUUGUCCUGUUCAAAAACCCAUCAUGACAAACAUGGGCUGAAAGGCCACUUAGAGAGGAAGAAGCCAUUAUUCCAAAGGUCAGCAAAACAAGUCGGACAGGUUAGAAAUGCAUCCAGGUACAAAUGGCUUCAUGUCCUAUGAUCUGACAAAACUUUCUGAUAUGUUCAUAUGAAGUGAAGCUUCACAAAUUCACAAAAUAAAUGUGGAAAUACUGAAGCAAAAUCUAAAAAA